GCCGGUGUAGCUCAGUCGGUAGAGCAACUGAUUCGUAAUCAGUAGGUCACCAGUUCGAUUCCGGUCACCGGCACCA
rnacentral:tRNA from 1 species